GACGAACGCUGGCGGCGUGCUUAACACAUGCAAGCCGAACGGCAAGGCCCCUUCGGGGGUACUCGCGUGGCGAACGGGUGAGUAACACGUGAGUAACCUGCCCUUGACUUCUGGAUAACUUCAGGAAACUGGGGCUAAUACCGGAUAGUAAUCCUUGCUGCAUGGUGGGGGUUGGAAAGCUUCGGCGGUUUUGGAUGGACUCGCGGCUUGUCAGCUUGUUGGUGGGUUAGUGGCUUACCAAGGCUUUGACGGGUAGCCGGCCUGAGAGGGCGACCGGACACAUUGGGACUGAUGUAUGGCCAAGACCCGUACCGGGGGCAGCAGUGGGGAGUAUUGCACAAUGGGCGGACGACAGAGGCAGCGACGCCGCGUGCGGGAUGACGGCCUUCGGGUUGUAAACCGCUUUCAGCAGGGGAGAAGCCUGUGGUGACGGUACCUGCAGAAGAAGCACCGGCUAACUACGUG
rnacentral:rRNA from 1 species